rnacentral:rRNA from 1 species
GACGAACGCUGGCGGCGUGCUUAACACAUGCAAGUCGAACGGAAAGGCCCUGCUUUUGUGGGGUGCUCGAGUGGCGAACGGGUGAGUAACACGUGAGUAACCUGCCCUUGACUUUGGGAUAACUUCAGGAAACUGGGGCUAAUACCGGAUAGGAGCUCCUGCUGCAUGGUGGGGGUUGGAAAGUUUCGGCGGUUGGGGAUGGACUCGCGGCUUAUCAGCUUGUUGGUGGGGUAGUGGCUUACCAAGGCUUUGACGGGUAGCCGGCCUGAGAGGGUGACCGGCCACAUUGGGACUGAGAUACGGCCCAGACUCCUACGGGAGGCAGCAGUGGGGAAUAUUGCACAAUGGGCGGAAGCCUGAUGCAGCAACGCCGCGUGCGGGAUAACGGCCUUCGGGUUGUAAAACGCUUUCGCCUGUGACGAAGCGUGAGUGACGGUAAUGGGUAAAGAAGCACCGGCUAACUACGUG